rnacentral:rRNA from 1 species
UGGGGAGUUUUGGACAAUGGGCGCAAGCCUGAUCCAGCCAUGCCGCGUGCGGGAAGAAGGCCUUCGGGUUGUAAACCGCUUUUGUCAGGGAAGAAAUCUUCUGAGUUAAUACCUCGGGAGGAUGACGGUACCUGAAGAAUAAGCACCGGCUAACUACGUGCCAGCAGCCGCGGUAAUACGUAGGGUGCAAGCGUUAAUCGGAAUUACUGGGCGUAAAGCGUGCGCAGGCGGUUUUGUAAGACAGAGGUGAAAUCCCCGGGCUCAACCUGGGAACUGCCUUUGUGACUGCAAGGCUUGAGUGCGGCAGAGGGGGGAAUGGAACUUCCGCGUGUAGCAGUGGAAAUUGCGUAGAUAUGCGGAGGAACACCGAUGGCGAAGGCAAUCCCCUGGGCCUGCACUGACGCUCAUGCACGAAAGCGUGGGGAGCAAACAGGAUUAGAUA